rnacentral:rRNA from 1 species
AUUGAACGCUGGCGGCAUGCCUUACACAUGCAAGUCGAACGGUAACGGGCCUUCGGGUGCCGACAAGUGGCGAACGGGUGAGUAAUGCAUCGGAACGUACCUUUCAGUGGGGGAUAACGUAGCGAAAGUUACGCUAAUACCGCAUAUUCUGUGAGCAGGAAAGCAGGGGAUCACAAGACCUUGCGCUGAUUGAGCGGCCGAUGUCAGAUUAGCUAGUUGGUGAGGUAAAGGCUCACCAAGGCGACGAUCUGUAGCGGGUCUGAGAGGAGGAUCCGCCCGCCUGGGACUGAGCCACGGCCCAGACUCCUACGGGACGCAGCAGUGUGGAAUGUUGGACAAUGGAGGCAACCCUGAUCCAGCCAUGCCGCGUGAGUGAAGAAGGCCUUCGGGUUGUAAAGCUCUUUCGGCCGGGAAGAAAUCGCACAGGCUAAUACCUUGUGUGGAUGACGGUACCGGAAUAAGAAGCACCGGCUAACUACGUGCCAGCAGCCGCAGUAAAAC